GCUGGAAUGGUCUAGUUGGUUAUGACGACUGCCUAACACGGAGUAGCCCCCGAGUUCGACUCUCGGUUCCAGUA